GAUGAACGCUGACGGCGUGCCUAAUACAUGCAAGUCGAGCGAACGGACGAGAAGCUUGCUUCUCUGAUGUUAGCGGCGGACGGGUGAGUAACACGUGGAUAACCUACCUAUAAGACUGGGAUAACUUCGGGAAACCGGAGCUAAUACCGGAUAAUAUUUUGAACCGCAUGGUUCAAAAGUGAAAGACGGUCUUGCUGUCACUUAUAGAUGGAUCCGCGCUGCAUUAGCUAGUUGGUAAGGUAACGGCUUACCAAGGCAACGAUGCAUAGCCGACCUGAGAGGGUGAUCGGCCACACUGGAACUGAGACACGGUCCAGACUCCUACGGGAGGCAGCAGUAGGGAAUCUUCUGCAAUGGGCGAAAGCCUGACGGAGCAACGCCGCGUGAGUGAUGAAGGUCUUCGGAUCGUAAAACUCUGUUAUUAGGGAAGAACAUAUGUGUAAGUAACUGUGCACAUCUUGACGGUACCUAAUCAGAAAGCCACGGCUAACUACGUG
rnacentral:rRNA from 1 species